CCUACGGGAGGCAGCAGUAGGGAAUCUUAGACAAUGGGGGCAACCCUGAUCUAGCCAUGCCGCGUGUGUGAUGAAGGCCCUAGGGUCGUAAAGCACUUUCGCCAGAGAUGAUAAUGACAGUAUCUGGUAAAGAAACCCCGGCUAACUCCGUGCCAGCAGCCGCGGUAAUACGGAGGGGGUUAGCGUUGUUCGGAAUUACUGGGCGUAAAGCGCACGUAGGCGGAUUAGUAAGUUAGAGGUGAAAUCCCAGGGCUCAACCCUGGAACUGCCUUUAAUACUGCUAGUCUUGAGUUCGAGAGAGGUAAGUGGAAUUCCGAGUGUAGAGGUGAAAUUCAUAUAUAUUCGGAGGAACACCAGUGGCGAAGGCGGCUUACUGGCUCGAUACUGACGCUGAGGUGCGAAAGUGUGGGGAGCAAACAGGAUUAGAUACCCUGGUAG
rnacentral:rRNA from 1 species